rnacentral:rRNA from 1 species
CCGGGCCAACGGGCGGGUAAUACCGCGUACGUCGGCGAGACCGCAUGGUCUUGCCGGGAAAGCAGCAAUGCACCGAUGGAGAGCCUCGCGGCCUAUCAGCUAGUUGGUGAGGUAAUGGCUCACCAAGGCGACGACGGGUAGCUGGUCUGAGAGGAUGAUCAGCCACAUUGGGACUGACACACGGCCCAGACUCCUACGGGAGGCAGCAGUGGGGAAUAUUGCGCAAUGGGCGAAAGCCUGACGCAGCGACGCCGCGUGUGGGAUGACGGCCUUCGGGUUGUAAACCACCGUCGCGAGGGACGAAGAUCUGACGGUACCUCGAAAGGAAGCACCGGCUAACUCUGUGCCAGCAGCCGCGGUAAUACAGAGGGUGCAAGCGUUGUCCGGAAUUACUGGGCGUAAAGGGCGCGUAGGCGGUCCAAUAAGUAGGGGGUGAAAUCUCACGGCUCAACCGGGAGGCUGCCUUCUAGACUGUUGGACUUGAGCACGGUAGAGGCAGAUGGAAUUCCCGGUGUAGCGGUGGAAUGCGUAGAGAUCGGGAAGAACACCAGUGGCGAAGGCGAUCUGCUGGGCCGUUGCUGACGCUGAGGCGCGACAGCGUGGGGAGCAAACAGGAUUAGAUACCCUGGUAGUCCACGCCGUAAACGAUGGGCACUAGGCGUCGGGGGGAGCGACCCUCCCGGUGCCGUCGCUAACGCUAUAAGUGCCCCGCCUGGGGAGUACGGCCGCAAGGCUGAAACUCAAAGGAAUUGACGGGGGCCCGCACAAGCGGUGGAGCAUGUGGUUUAAUUCGAUGCAACGCGAAGAACCUUACCUGGGCUUGACAUGGGAACGCCGCGGCGAGAGAU